rnacentral:rRNA from 1 species
GUGGGGAAUAUUGGACAAUGGGCGAAAGCCUGAUCCAGCCAUGCCGCGUGUGUGAAGAAGGUCUUCGGAUUGUAAAGCACUUUAAGUUGGGAGGAAGGGCAGUAAGUUAAUACCUUGCUGUUUUGACGUUACCAACAGAAUAAGCACCGGCUAACUUCGUGCCAGCAGCCGUGGUAAUACGAAGGGUGCAAGCGUUAAUCGGAAUUACUGGGCGUAAAGCGCGCGUAGGUGGUUCAGCAAGUUGGAGGUGAAAUCCCCGGGCUCAACCUGGGAACUGCCUCCAAAACUGCAUGACUAGAGUACGGUAGAGGGUAGUGGAAUUUCCUGUGUAGCGGUGAAAUGCGUAGAUAUAGGAAGGAACACCAGUGGCGAAGGCGACUACCUGGACUGAUACUGACACUGAGGUGCGAAAGCGUGGGGAGCAAACAGGAUUAGAAACCCCAGUAGUCC